GACGAACGCUGGCGGCGUGCCUAAUACAUGCAAGUCGAACGAGGGGCGGACGGGUGAGGAACACGUGGGAACCUACCCAUCAGAGGGGGAUAACUACUGGAAACGGCGGCUAAUCCCGCAUACUAUCGGAUGAACACAUAUGGGAUUAGCUAGUAGGUGGGGUAAAGGCUCACCUAGGCGACGAUCUCUAGGUGGUCUGAGAGGAUGACCAGCCACACUGGAACUGAGACACGGCCCAGACUCCUACGUGAGGCAGCAGUGGGUAAUAUUGCACAAUGGGCGCAAGCCUGAUGCAGCCAUGCCGCGUGUAUGAAGAAGGCCUUAGGGUUGUAAAGUACUUUCAGCGGGGAGGCGUUCCCCGCAUAAGAAGCACCGGCUAACUCCGUGCCAGCAGCCGCGGUAAUAC
rnacentral:rRNA from 1 species